GACAGAGGGUGCAAACGUUGCUCGGAAUUACUGGGCGUAAAGGGCGUGUAGGCGGGAAGGCAAGUCGGGCGUGAAAGCCCCAGGCUCAACCUGGGAACUGCACUCGAAACUGCCUUUCUUGAGUGCCGGAGAGGAAAGCGGAAUUCCUGGUGUAGAGGUGAAAUUCGUAGAUAUCAGGAGGAACACCAAUGGCGAAGGCAGCACUCUGGGACGGUACUGACGCUGAGACGCGAAAGCGUGGGGAGCAAACAGG
rnacentral:rRNA from 1 species